CGAUGGACAUGAGCCUGAGUGAACUCCAGGAGUUGGUGAGGGACAGGGAGGCCUGGCGUGCUGCGAUUCAUGGGGUCGCAAAGAGUCGGACACUACUGAGCGACUGAUCUGAUCUGAUCUGAAGAUUGAACAUUAAGCUAUUGGCCUCCAGGAGCUGACCGAUCCUGGAAAUGAAUAAGAGGGAAAUUUAUUGGAGAACUUUAUUUGGACUGGAGGACACAUUUGUGCAAGUGCAUUCCUUAUUAAUAGGUCUUUGUUCUUGCUGUAACCCUCAGCCAGACAGGCUGUCUCUGGCAGAAGAAUACACUUCAUCAAAAGUGUCUGCAGGUUGUCAAACUCAGGGAGGUUUGGGGACCCUCUGAGGCUGUCAUGGUCAACAAGAAGAUUUUCUGUCGGGCUUUGCCAUCACUCACCCCGAGGAAAUAAUCACUCACUACAUUCUGCAUGUUCUCAUGAUAGAGCUCUCCAUUUGAGAGAAAAGAGCCAUUUUAUCAAAGGACAAUAUAGCCCUUCUCUGGGUCCACGUAGCUUCCAUUAUCAGACCAUAAUAAAUCAUAUUUAUGUUCUCAGUUAAUAAGACUGAUUACAACGCAGGUUUCAGACGUGGGAAAAGCAAAGCAGGUUGAAAAGAUGUUUUAAUGAAAAUAUGAUAAGAAAACAGCUUCUUGUGAACAUUCAGUGCUAUUAUUUGUAAUGAUUACAGACAAUUUUUGAUGCAUCUUUAGCAAUGGUUUAAGCUGCAUAAAUUGGCUCACUGGUAGAUAAGUAAAAAUAAUAAGGAAAAAAAAUCAUGAAAUCAUCUUAUGUUGUCUAGAAUCAUUAUGUACAUAACAAGUGCAAAAUGAGUCUAAUGUAUAUGCUGGGGAUGGAGGGAAAACAGAUUGCUCAGGAAAAGCAUGGUUUGGGUAUUAUUCAAAAUGAUUUAGAAAUUUUUUCCUCAUCUCACUUAUUAAAGGUGUGUGUGCUCUGAAAUUUGGGGGUGCCAGAUAUUAAUUUCAUCUUGUAAAUGAAUCAACUCUACCUCUUUUAUUCAAUCUCAACGUUGUUUUCCCCUUUCUUUCUUUUUUUUCCCCUCCAUGGAGCUCAGUACAGAGACAUAUAUUUCCUACCCAGUGUUUGGACGCAAUUGCCAUUAGUGCUAAGUGCCUACUUGGGAGGAAAACAGACCCCAAAGUUUAAUAUUGAAAGGUACCUUAUUAAAAAGGUCUGGACAUUUUUACCUUCCAUGAGUUCAAUUACACUGAAGUACCAACUUUCUAAAUUAGUACAAAAAAGAAAAAAAUCAGAUAAAAUAUUGAAAUAGAUUUAGUCAUUAACUGUGUAAUACAGAAAAGUAUCUGAUAGCUGAGGACUUAUUUGUUCCUACUAAUUUACUGGUUUGGUCGUAUAACAAAUAACAAUUCCAGGUUAGCUCCCAGCACUUAGAGCACUUCUUUCCACUGUUUGUUCACAGCUUUGAUGAGAAUUUUGUUAGCCUUGGCUUUUGGGUUAAUAAAAAGACAAUGAGGCUUCUUACAUCCACUGUUACUCUGAAAAGUGAUAUUCUGAAACCUCUGAUGAGCCAACUGAGCACCAUGGAUUUAUCAAGUGGUUGGGACAUCUUCUUUAUUUGUGGGUAGAGGGGAUUGGCAGGCCUCAUGUGGUACACAUUGGUGAGUCUUUCAAAACAGCCAUUGUUAUGAACCACGAAAGCGAACAUCCUCCAUAAUGAAGCUGUCCCGGCUAGAACUGCUGGAAAGGCCUCAUAUUGAUGGCACUGCAGACUCUUUUUACUAAAAGCAAACUUAACAGAGUCUCUAUUUUAUUCAGAGAUGCUUGGAUUGUGUUUUUUCUAAGCCAGUUCACACUAAUGUUAGAUAUUGUGACAGUUGAUAAUGUCAAUGAAGUCUAAGAGAUUAAUUUCCCAAGGCAUGAGAAAAACUCACAGGGAAAAAUGUAUGAUUUUAAUUGGUACAGGUGGGCGCAUACACUUGUGGAUGUAAAUGUGUGCCUAGGCAGGGGUCCUGUGUUUUCCUAAAAUACUGCUCUGUUUCUUGAAAUUAAAAACCUAUUGAGAUUCUGUCCCCUCCCCCUAGAUCAUGACUUUCUUUGUUGGCAAUUUCUCUUUGCUGUAUUCUAACCUGAAUGGAGGAGGGGAGAGUCAGAGGCCCCAUGUCAGUCACAUUGUCUGACUUCCACAGAAAUAACUGCCAAGACUUCUGCUGCAUCUUCUUUGGUUUUCACCUUCACUUCUUUUUUCUUUUCAUAGGUUGACCAAAAAAUAUUGCCUGCAAGAGAAUUCUGUAAUGCCACCAUAUAUCUAGUAUCUAUGAAGCGUUUUGUUUUAGCGUUACUGGACUUAACCACAAAAGACGCUUGACAUUGAUAAAGAAUCUGUCAAGUCUACCCUGAUCAGUGCACUGAAAUCGCUCAUGACAGGGAAGACACCAAACCCCCAAAGCAGUGGUAGAUUAGGAGAAAAAUGGUUAGAAGCUUCGUGGUUGUGAAUCCAUUUCAUGUUGGACCGUACACUGAGCCAAAUGUGUUUUACUUGUCACAGUCCAUUAGCAUGUGUGAAACAGUUGGGAAAAUGGCCAUAUGAUUAGUUAGAAGGAAACCUGGAUUCUUCAUACUGGGAGUUGUUACCACUGAAUAAUGUCUAUGCAAGAGAAAUUGGUUUAGAUUCUGUUAAUUUCUUGUGUGAUAGAAAAUAAAGGGCAUUUGUGAAUAGAAUCUCCAUAAGUUGACCACAAACAGUCCCUCCCCUAAUUUUUAACAUUUUUUAAAAGAAGGCUUGCUGAAAUCUACAUUUUUAUUGGCAAAAAGUUUCAUUGAUAUUUCACCCUUAAAAUUCCAUCCUCAGUUUCCCUAUUAGAACCUGUAGAUUACAUUUUUUUCCCAGGGCACAAACGACCUGUAUGUGGCCAAGGAAAAACAAAACAAAACAGCAAAACAGGACUGGCUUGAGAGGAUGAUUUACAUCUGGUGUAGCUCUUAUAUUUUACAGUAAAAAACAAAACAAAACAAAACAACUUUUUUUUUUUCUUUAAAGAGGGAAUGUCAGUGAAAAGAUGACUUUAAGGAUGAAAAGAUACAAACAACUCAGAUACAAAGGAAAUUCCCAGAAAUGCUUAAAACACCACAACCACAGCACUGUAAGGAAAAGACAGAGUGGGGCAGGAUUUUCCCCUUGGGAGCAAUCUGUUGAAAACCCACAUAGAAUGAAAGAAAAUCUAUUAUGGGAAAGAAAGAUAGCUUUCUUGAAUGUUGCCUAUAAAAUCCCAUAUCUAAGGGUGUUACAGUUCCUUAGGACAAAAUCUUGUCCUGAACGAGACUGGGGAAUUAUCAAAUGUUGACUGUUAAAUAUUUUCAUUUCAUACUGUAUUUAUUUCUCUGGAAUGAUGAAUAUGCAGAUUUAAAAUUGAAUUUCUUUGUUCCCAAGAGAACAAUGGAGCCAAGUUCUUGACGAUGUCUAGCGUUUACAGAUGGGCCCUCUGAUGGGAUGAGUCAUCGCACAGUUAAUGGCCAGUGUGUCAAGUACGACCUCAUCACCUCCCACACUGCGGAGGAGGACCAUUUGGAUUGGGGACUGCUAUGACUCUGCUGAUGGUCCCCGGGCAUUGUGCAAAACUUUGACCUGAUUUCACUCUUGUGGAUAACUUUCCCCAGUCCCUGGUCCAGCAAGUAGAUGUUAUUUCCAGUAAGAGGAAAGGAUGAGGAUCAAAGGGUAAGCCAAAGAGGUCUAUGCCCCUGGACAGAUCAGCAUGGCAGGCAGUAAUGAGUAUAAAACACCCACCUGUGUCUUUUUUUCUGGUGCUUGUUUAGCUUGUCUGGCCCCCAAAACUGCAUAGUUUCUCCAAGAAUUCAAGGCAGUCCUCCCUUGUGACCACACAGAAUGUGUUUGCGGUGCUGAAGGCCAGGCCAGGACUAAUUUUGAAAAGCAAAUCUGGGAAACAGCUUAAUUUCAAUUCCCUUGAGAUUUUUCUGGGACAAAGUUAGAAAGGAAGAGAAGCUGAACAAAAUAGCAGUUAGAGGCAGAGGUUACUUUGAGCAAAAGUCUCCUACAUUUUCUUUAACCCCCAAAUUUUAUACCACAAAGGCAGUUUAAUGGGUAUUCAGUAAAUGCUAGUUUUCGAUGCCACACUACGGCCCCUGUGAUGCUGGCAUGAACUGUAGGAUCUUUAUUUAAAGUACCCUCUUGAACACCCAGAAAGAAAGGCAUAGCCAAAUGUACAUACAUGACCUAUGGUUCUCAGCUCCACAUGUGUUUACUGAGCACCUACUGUGUGUCAGGUAUGGGGAGUCACAGACCAGGUCUCCGAGGGCAGUGUUCUUCUUACUCCAGCACAUACUGCUUCCAUGGUGUGACUGAAAGAGUGGGUGACCUGAAGUCAGGAACUCCUGAUUUUGCAGGUCUCAAAUCAAAAAUAGUCAUUUUGGCAGAAACUCUAAGAUAUAAAUAUAAACGAAAAACGUGCUUACUUUUUUCUAGAGGCAUCGCUAUGGAGUCGUGUCUACUGUAGGAACAGGGGCUUUGGAGUUCUGGCAUAAGCAUGGCCCCAUUCCAUUCCUUUCCGGUUAGUUUGCCCAAAGGCAAGCUACUUAAUUUCUCAAAAUCUCGUUUUCCUUUUUUUUAAGUUUUCUUUCUAUCUUUUUUUUUUUUUGAUGUAGAUCAUUUUUUGAAGUCUUUAUUGAAUUUGUUAUAAUAGUUUGUAUAUAAUUUGUUAUAAUAGCUUCUUUUUUUUUUGUUUGGUCUUUUGGCCUCAAAGCACGUGGGAACCUUAGCUUCCUGACCAGCGAUCAAACGCACACCCCCUGCAUUAGAAGGUGAAGUCUUAACCACUGGACCACCAUAGACACCUCUAGAUCUCAAUUUCUUCAUCUGUAAAAUGGGAGUGAUAAUAUUUCUUAGCACUGUUGUGAGGAUUAAAUGCACAUGAACAGUUGGCACAGACAAAGCCAGAUUAAGAGCUGGGGCUUGAAGGCAGCUUCCUAGGGUGGGUGGGGAAUCAGUGUUUAAGGGAAUGCCAAACACCUGCAGAAUAAAUGAUGAACAUGAUGCCAGGAACUCUGCUUUCUACCCAUGUUCCUGACAUACCCACAAGAUGGAAUUGGUUCUGUCCUUCCAGAAUAGACAGUCCCCUUCAAAGGAAAAAAAAAAAAUUCCUUUUGGCCAGUUUCCUUUGGCUGGAUGUGGGUUUCAUGCUGCCACCAAUCACCCUGGGACCAGCAGUGGUAGCCGCCUGAAAAUCUGAAAUCAAAUAUUUCAGACCCAUGGUUGUAUACUGGAAAACUAGGCUAUUAGCUAAAUUAGAAUCCUGAUACCAGGUUUCUCAAGCAGUUGUUUGAUUUAGAGUAUUAUAAGAGAAAACAAGAACAAAAAUAUGGGACACAUUCUAUC